CACCUUCCCAUCCAACACUUCUAUACACAGGUAAGGUACACAACCUGCUCCCCACGUACGUUGGAGAGAAACGUCACGGGCAGACCGAUUGUACCCAGAAGAAAAAAGAACAACUAGUGACCAUUCCCACGUUUAUUUGCUAAAUUAAGUUAGUUCCAAAAUAUUGAAUACUAAAAGCGUUUCUAAAGUGAACUCAACCCAAUUAUUAGUGAGAACCUAAUUGUAUUCCCUACAAUCUAGUGAACUAAUAAUAACCUACAAUUUGUUUACAUCUUAAUCCUACAUGCGAAGUACGGUAAAGGACUAGAACUAGGUGAAUAUUUCCAUAAUAGCUAGUACGAGCCAGAACGAGUGAUAUUAGUUCGACCAUUGUGAACCUGAUGACCCGCAAAUCUGCACAACGGGACUAAACGUAAGUCAUGACAGGGCAAAAACAUUGAAUGAUCGAUAAACACAU